ACUCAGUCCUGCCUCAAAGAAGGGAGGAAGGAUGUCACCUUGUCCUGGGCAAGUUAUUGGGCAAGACCAGGCAGCUCCAGUGCUAAUUUAAUGCUGGGAAGAGAGUCGGGGAACCUGCAGCUCUGGCCAGCUUUCCCCCAAGGAAUCCCAGCCCUACCAGCCUCCUCCCUGUCUCUGGCACAUACCAGUUCACAGCCAGAUCAGUAGAGCAGAGGUGUACAAUGGGGAGGCUCUGGCCUGAGAAGAGGAAGCCCCUGAGAGCAUUCAAAGGGUCAAGAGAGGACUAAGGUCCCACAAGUGAGCAGUGGAGGGCAUUCGGAUGCAAUGAUCUUUCAGCCCUAACAUUCUGGAAGUCUGAUUCAAAGAGUCACACCCAGCAAAGGAAAACACAGAGACUAGACGGAAUCAGUGAAGAGGUGGCUGGUCAAAAGCAGCACAUGUAUCGUGUUUUCAAAGCUCAGCAGUGACUCAGGAAGGCAAGACAGGAAGUCCCUUGGGAAUGGUCUGUAAACCAGGGCGAGGGACUAAGAAAAACAGGUAGAUAAGUCCCCAGGAGCCUUAAACAGCCCCCAAAGCAUGAGCUACACAUAUGUCACUAGACUCUGUCAGAACCUUUCAGAGCUGGCCAGGCAUGGUGGCUCACGCCUGUGAUCCCAGCACUUUGGGAAGCUGAGGUGGGAGGAUAGGUUGAACCCAGGAAUUCGAGACCAGCCUGGGCAACAUAGCGAGACCUUGUCUCUACCAAAAAUAAAAUAAAUAAAUAAUUUAAAAAGAGGCCAGGAGUGGUGGCUCACACCUGUAAUCUCAGCACUUUGGGAGGCCCAGGCGGGCGGAUCACCUGAGGUCAGGAGUUACAGACCAGCCUGGCCAACGUGGCGAAACCUCAUUUCUACUAAAAAUACAAAAAUUAGUCAGGCAUGGUGGCAGGCGUCUGUAAUCCCAGCUACUCAGGAGGCUGAGGUGGGAGAAUUGCUUGAACCUGGGAAGCAGAGGUUGCAGUGAGCCGAGAUGGCGCCGCUGCACAGAGCAAGACCCCGUCUCAAAAAAAAAAAAAAAAGUAAUAAAGUAAAAAAUAAAAAGAACCUUCCAGAGUUUCUAGAGGCACUAAGACACUAAAAUGCCAGAGAAAGCCAUUUUACCCCUGAAGAAGCUCAGCACUGGGAAAUGACUGGGCAGAAACGUGGCCCACCUGGCCUGCUCCUAGUCCCCAGGACCGGCCAAACUGAAGUAGGUUUCUUCAGUUUUCUUCAGGUUUCUUCAGUAGGUACCUGCUCAGCCCACAAGCCCAGGGAGUCUCCUGGGUCCUUGGUUCUUCUAUGCAGCCCAGCCUCCUUGUCCAGUUAACUGGGGCAGAAGCAGGUACCUGACUCACAGGCAACCACUCUAGAGGCCAGGCUGGGCCAGUCAGAUUCCUGAACUUUGGAAUUAGGACAAGGAGAGGCCAGACUGUUUGCCACAGGUCCUGGUUGGGUAAGGAAAUGUAGAUUUGCCAAGGAGGGCUGCUUGGGACACGUGUCUGAAAGACAGAAAGGAAAUUGGUGUUUUGAGAGAAGUGGACGGAAAGGUGGGCAUUCCCCCAACACCAGUCCUGAGUGUAAGGUCCUUGUGCGACUUGCCUGCCCUUGAGAUCUGUGAGAUAGUUCUAACGCCUUAUAUUGAAUUACAUUUUUUGCUUAAACUAGCUGGAGUGGGCUUCUAUUUCAUGUAAACAAAUCAAUCACUGAUAUAGUGAAGCCCGUCCUUCAAAGUUUCCCAAAUUAGACUUGGCAAGUCGGCAUAAUGGUAAUGAUGCUAAUGACACCCCUGACAUUUGAUUGGUGUUUUAUAAUUUAAAAGUCCCUAACAUAGGGGUCAUCACUCCAGCCUGGGAUGACUUGCCCCAGACCUACUCAUGCUCCAGACUCUUGGGGAACGGCAUCACUCCUAAAACUCUCAAUGUCUUCAACAAUAAAGUGGGGUUAAUAAAGCCUGUUUUAAGUGGUUGUUGCAAGGUUUGAAUGUGGUAUGCAAAGUGUUUAGCACUUUGGCACACAGUAAAAGUGCUCAGUAUGUGGUAGCCAUAAUAGUGAUUUAUUAUAUAAAGUACCUAGAUGAGGCUAGACACAUAAUCACUAAUCAAAAAUUAUGUAAUAUAAAGUGCUUACUGAUCAGUGCAGAGGGUUUGACUUGACCAGACUUAACAGGAUCACUUGUAAAACAAAGGAGUUUUAGUUGAUCACAAGCUUUAUGUGAGUCAACAGAAACCAUCACAAAGCUAAUGUGAUCUCAGGCCAUAUUAAGAAAAGUUUUAUCUCUAGAAGAUGGGAGAUGUUAGUCAUGUCCACCUCAGUCCCUAUCAGACAACACCUAGUGGUGGGGAGGGGGCGGGCUCUAGGAAGAGGACCUGUGACCUCACAACUUUCUAAGAAAAAUAAAAUUUCUUUCUUGGCAAGUAUGCUUGCACAUAUAGAACUCAAAAAACAUUCCUCUAUUUUUUUUUCCUUUUUCACUUAUGCCUUUGUCUUGGAGUAGUUAGAGAAAGCCACUGCAAUCAAGACAGUGUGGUAUUGGUAUACAGAUGAAUAAAUUUAAAAUGUCUGCCCUUUGGAAGACACAAGAGAAUGCAAAUACAAUCCACAGACUGAGAGAAAAUAUUUGCAAAUGAUUUAUGGUGUGGUUUGGUUUUGUGUCCCUACUCAAAUCUCAUCUCAAAUUCUAAUUCCCACAUGUCAGAGGAAGGGCCUGAUGGGAGGUGAUUGGAUCAUGGGGGUGAAUUUUCCCCUUGGUGUUCUUGUGAUAGUCAGUUCUCAUAAGAUCUGAUGGUUUUAAAGUGUGGUUCUUCCUUCCCUUGCUCUCUCUCUGUCUCUCUCCUGUCACCAUGUAAGAUGUGCCUUGCUUCUCCUUCACCUUCUGCCAUUAUUGUAAGUUUCAUGAGG
rnacentral:lncRNA from 1 species